rfam:Beta vulgaris subsp. vulgaris Bvchr2.sca001.con0077.1, whole genome shotgun sequence.
UUGUUUGCUGAUGCAGCACCAUCAAGAUUCACAUGCCCAUCUUCCUUGGCUUCCACCAUUUUUUUUUCUAUUUUUUUAAUUUUUUUUUGGGGUUUUUUCUGUAUAAAUAAAUGUGUUAAGAAAAUCCCAAAAAAAAGAAAAAAAAAAGGAAAAAAAAUGGUGAAGUGAUAAGGAGGUAAAGGAUGUGAGAAUCUUGAUGAUGCUGCAGCGGCAAUAAA